GCCACACCCUCCAGACAAAAGAUUUUGCGUGUCCCCUGGGGAGGUUCGAGGACACAAAAAGACAGACACUCUACCGACCAUCUUUUACAACUACCGUAUUACUGGGGUUUACCAGCCAGACUAUUGGGCGCCAGAAAUGUGGAUUCAAAGGGGGGGGGGGNNNNNNNNNNNNNUCACUACCACAUUGUAACAGAAGUAUCCUGUAACUCCCUCCAUCACUACCACAUUGUAACAGAAGUAUCCUGUAACUCCCUCCAUCACUACCACAUUGUAACAGAAGUAUCCUGUAACUCCCUCCAUCACUACCACAUUGUAACAGAAGUAUCCUGUAACUCCCUCCAUCACUACCACAUUGUAACAGAAGUAUCCUGUAACUCCCUCCAUCACUACCACAUUGUAACAGAAGUAUCCUGUAACUCCCUCCGUCACUACCACAUUGUAACAGAAGUAUCCUGUAACUCCCUCCAUCACUACCACAUUGUAACAGAAGUCCCUCCAUCACUACCACAUUGUAACAGAAAGACUGUAACUCCCUCCAUCACUACCACAUUGUAACAGAAGUCCCUCCGUCACUACCACAUUGUAACAGAAGUCUCCUGUAACUCCCUCCAUCACUACCACAUUGUAACAGAACUCCCUCCAUNNNNNNNNNNGGUCUGAUUUGUUUACCCCAAAAUAUUAUCCAAGUCAAUUUAUAUAGGAGGUAAUGCAGCACAUUUUCUCCUAUAUAAAGCCUAUUGUCUAACAGGGAAUUUAAAUGUAAACAGCUUGAAAGCCAGACUAACACAUUAACUGAUUGUGUGCUCUGGGCACGUGGGCUACGAAUCUCUUUCCUAAAACAUCCCACUCUACUAGCGCUCGUGCCACUCAGACACAGUCCCCCCUCUCUCCAGCGCCCUCCCUCUGUCCCCCCUCUCUCCAGCUCCCUCCCUCUGUCCCAUAGCCCACCCUCUCUCUCCAGCUCCCUCCCUCUGUCCCACCUUCUCUCCAGCUCCCUCCCUCUGUCCCACAGCCCACCCUCUCUCUCCAGCUCCCUCCCUCUGUCCCACAGCCCA
rnacentral:lncRNA from 13 species